CAAGCUGUGAAAACACAAAUAACGGCCCUGGUGAGAGCACAGCAAAGCCUUCCAGCAGCUGUGACUAACAUCAAACCACUUGGUACAGGGCUCCCUGCCUCUGCCGCUCCCGGGGAGCCUCAGAAAGGGCAUCGCUGGAAUCCCUGCCCGGGGAAGGGGAGCGCGGAGGAGAUUUGGGCGCCCAGCCUGGGAUUUCUGACGGCUGCCACAGCAGGCAGACGUGGGCCACGUGCAGCAGCGCCGAGAGCAAUUCGCAGGAAGGGCAAGGCGUGAGAUUGUUUGUGUGAAGCGUAUACACCGGGGCUGGCUGGGGGCAGCCCAGACCUCUCUGUUUUCCCGGAUCAGGAAGCGAGGCCCGGCCUGCCCGCCGCCCAGCCCUCUCGUGUGCUAGCAGGGAUGUGUCUGCAGCAGCCAGCAGGCGGGCGGAGGAGGUUUUUGGGAUGGGCUGCUUGGCAGGGAGGGAAGGGGCGAGUGCGUGUGGAAGAGGACAGAUAAACCAGCAGCGCUCCUCAGCUGCGGUGCAGAAGCAGGCCUCAGGUUUCCUCACGGGGCUCUAACUUAGCGUGACGGAGCCCUUAUCAGCCGCACACAAGCACAGGGCAAAGAGCCGCCCCUGCCUGCUGCACCGUGCCCGUCCUGGGGCUGUGGGCUCCACGCGGGCUCAGCCCCGGCCUGGCACAGCUGCAGCCUCCCUCAGGGCUGAGCUGCUCGAAAGCCGCAGGAGACACAUGCAGGUGGCAGAACAAGGAGGCACAAGGAUGAGGCCCCGGGGCACCUUGCCUUGGGGCUAGGAAUCUGCUGGCCACCCGCAUGCAGAAGCAGGCUCAGGAGAGACGCCACGUGCAGGGGCGCUGAGCUCUGCCCUGCGUUCCCAGCCCCACAAAGCAGGUGCCACUGGUGUGGGAUCUUUCCCAUCAGAUGAGCACCGGGGCGAGGCCGAGGCCCAUCGGUGGGUUCUCUCCCCGGCAGGACCAUCCUCCCUACAGCUCUGGUAGGACUUGAAAGCGGCCCGCCCUGCAAACCGUGGCCCCGCUAUUGUUUGCACUGAAGUCCAAAAGCGUGAAGAAGAUGAGUCCUCUUGUUCUUGUUUCUUUUUUUUUCCGGGCAGUCAAUAACUAACCUCCGGGAUCCGGCUGCUUACGAGGCAUGGAGAGAGUUUCUAAAAGACGGCGAUAAAGAGUACGUGGGUGCCGGGGGAGGAGGAAGGCGGGGAGGGGGAGAGGAGGGAUACGUAUGUCACAGCUUACCUCAGAGCCAGAAUUAGAAGCUGGGUUAAAAAAAAUAAAAUCACAGCAGGAAAUAAUGUGUGGCUUAAAAUAGCAACAUCAAAUGGGAGCGAGAAUGGGGAGUGGGUGGCAUUUGAGGUUGCUGCUCUGUUCCUCCCUCAAUGGCAGGGUGAUUAAUAUGUCUACGCUCCUUGUGUUUAUGUAACAAAGGGCACCAAAGGCCAAAGCUGUAUUUUCACUAACACUGCAGGGGAGUCUGUGAAUCUUUUCUUCCACCCAUAGCAUUAAGUGGGAGGAUCUGCACUUGCACUUCCUGCCCCAGAAACAAACAGAAAAAAAAUUAUCCACGCCGCACCAGUGCACACGCAGUUACGUUUCCAUGGCUUGGCAGGGUGGAACAGAGACCCUGCAAGGCUUUGAAGGUUCGUCCGCCUUUCCUUGCUUCCCACAGCAAAAGCCUGUUCCCGGCACACCUGUAACCGUGGCCGGCUCGUCUCUGGCUGGAGGCUGCGCUGUAAUAGCAGGCAAGGUAGCACUGCGUGUUACUACACAUUUCCGUGCUCGCUCUGUGCAUUCGUAAUGAAUCAUAGAUCUCUGAGAUGGGUCAUGCAGUCUGUCUCCUUGCCAGCACAGGACUGUUCCCAGCCACGUACUUAAUCCCUCACGUUUCUCUUGGGAGACCGUGAUUGAGACCGAUCAGUCUUUUUUUCUCCCUACGUACCGUGUAUCCUGAGAACCGCAAUGAAGACUGGAAAGCACGCGCAGUUUUGGCUGCUGUGAUCUCCUCUGGACUGAUAAGCAGGAUAACCCUGCUCUGCGCUUGCAGAGAAAGGUGGGAGAGUGUGCAGUGAGCCCCCAGGGCGCAGGAGGCUCGCCCCUCGGUGGGACACACUCGGUACCUCCAACUCAUCGGAAAGGCAGCGCGGGGCUGCAGCUCAGCCCUCGCCGUGCCCGGUCCCCACAGAGCACAAAGCCGAGAGCGGGGCCUCCCUUCACCUGCGAGCAAAACGCACCAGCCCGCAGCCCUGCGCAGGCACUCCUGCCAAAAUACCUGCUUAGAGGCGCAUAGCACAAGGGCAGGUCCGUCAUGUGCUAAAAACCUGCUGCCCAGACCUGAUUCUCUGGCACUCUGACAUCAGCGAGUGUCUCUGACAUCGGUCGGGACGUGCUGCUGUCGGAGGAAGGGGAAUCAGGCCCAGCACUGAUGCACAUCUUCCCACAGGCAGGCAGGGCAGCACGCUUUGUUUAAACACGGCCUGCUGGUGGCUGCAGACAGGGAUCACUCCCAGCGACUCAAUCAACACGCAUAAUAUCCUGCGAGUUAGCUCCAGCCGUGGUAAAUAUCUCCACCAUGCUUUCCCUCCAAGCAAAUAUAGUACCUGCAUGGAAGAAAUUCCUCAAGACGUUUCCUGUCUGGAGCCGAAGCUUGCCAGGGACCGAAUUUCCUGUGAGGCUAGAGUUGGGAAUGCAAAGCAAAGAAGCUAACAAGAAAACGCGAUGAUACACAUUUGGACCUGCUCUACAAAGAUCCUCUUCAGCAAGCAUGUUUCCCCCUCUGUUUAAAUAAAAAGAAAGCAGCCGGAUUUGCAAAUAACGGCGGGGCUAUUUUUCAUUAGUAAUUCUUAUUUUUACCUCACUGCUUCUCUUUCUGCCUGUUUUUUCCAGCUGCGAUUCUGUGACUUACACAUCCUGAAAAUGAAAGGGGUUGUUUUUGCCAACAGCAAAGUGCUAUGCGUCCUUUCAACCAUCUGGAAAUAGAUUUUUUAUUCUUCCCCUCUCCCAGCCACACACGCACGUGCACACACACAACCGAGCCUUUGUCUCUCGGAAAUCAUUUCCCGCACCAGAGCUGACGGUCACGAAAAGAAUUCAGUCCACAAGUUCCACAGGCAUUACAGGGCCGAGGCAGAACAAACAGGGGGACUUCCUGGGCACUUGUUCUUAUCCAAACUGCCACCUCAUGAGCAAGAGAGGAAUGCAGCAGAGCAUGCGGGGCAGUGGCUGGAGAUUAGGAGAGGUAAAGACUCCCGAGUCGUUUGGUUUGGUUUGGUGUUGUCCUGGCUCUGCUACAAAUCUCCUUUGUCACUAAAAGCAAGUUGCCUACUCGCUCAGUGCCUCAGCUCCCCCAGCUGUAAAUAGGGAUGUGGAUCCUGCCUAACCCCGUGAGAUGGUCAAUGCGUCCAUGUCCGUAACGUGAGCUGAUGUCCAGAGAUGAAAGAAGUAAUCUGAAGUGAACACUACCGUGAUAGCUCUGUGCUGAGACUAAUAGAGUCAAGCAGGACAGUCUGGGAGCCAGAGACAAGACUUGAUCGUCUCUUGCCCAGAGGCACAUGUUAAGUGAGCUGUGUCACCACGCUCUCCAGAUGACUGCAGGUCUGCAAGAGGAGACAAAGAAGAUCCAGAGCCGUACCGACUGGUACAAACACGCUUACGGUGUCCAGCUGAGAAUGAGUAACAGCUGCUUGCUCAUCACCCUGAUUUCUGUCACUACUAGUGUUUCUGAAUGCUGAAGUGUCCCGGCGCUGUGACUCAGGGCUGUGAGUCACAGGCUGCGUGUCUCUACCACAUGGAAUCACUCACUUGCUCUCUCAGAUGAGAUUGCAGAAAUCACAGAUCAUCUUGGGUCUCCUACAGUGGUAAGUCUGAACAAUAUAGGCAGAUAUUUACAAACACAUUCGGGAAAGAUUCAUCCUUUCUCCACUGACUGUCUGUCAAGGAUUCAUGUUAGAGAUCACUUUCACACCCACAUCAAAAAAAGAGACAAAAUGUAGAAGUCUUAUGUUCCUUACACAGACAUUUAAUUCCUAUACACCGAAAGCUCUAGGAAAUCCGGACUAGACAAGUCGCGGUACAGGUAGCACUCGGCCUGUCGCCUCCCCUGCUUUUACCGGUCCCCUCGCUAGCCCUGAGAUGCCUCCAGCAGGACAACGCGCUCCUUUUUGGCCCCUGAUCGCCUCCUCCUUGCCCGUCCUCUCCGGCCUGCCUGGUAAGGAAGCUCUGGUGCAGGAACGCAGCGCUAACCUCAGUGCCAGGCUGCGGCGAGACCCCUGAGAGGACACCAGCGACCCCCGAGGCGCCCUCACAGCGGCGAGACCUGCGUUGAGUCCCUCCAACCAGCAGCUUUCCCUUCCGCAGGCUGCUUCGGUGACCGGCCCUGCAUUCAGAUCCCGCAUCCAGCCUGUGUACAUCCUCUGUUGAUACAGGUGCGGCCAGCACGGGCGCCGCUUCCUCGGGAGAUGAGGCGGUGGGGGCUCGCCCCAGCGCCGAGGUGCAAAGCCCCGAGUGAUCUCACCGGCGGGGAACCUCCGGCACCGCGCUGACAAGAGGGGGGUUGCUGACACUCACCAGCCUGCCCCCCCCGGUGGCAGCGCGGUUUGUGUUGGCAAAAGAGUGUUUCUGUUGGCACGGGCCCCCUCCCUGCAUUGAUUAAGUCACGCCUGUUUUGUUUUUUGUAGGGGCAAAUCUCUCCGCAGCAAGGUGUUUUGCUGGUGUGAGGAUGUGGCAAGGAAUCACUCCCGCUGCUUACAGUGCUUACAGUCGGCCCGGAUCCCUCUCCCAAACCCAGAUAAAAGCCUGCGGCAGUCUCGCCGAGAGCUUUCUGUUUGCCGAGACAGGGCGAGCGCUCGUGUGAGCCUGAACGAAUGCAGACAAACUCCGAGAGCCGUAAUAGGAAAGCAAACACAAUGCUCCGAGCACAGGGACUCCCGGCUGAUAGGAAGUGACUUCAGCACGCCAAUUCCUCUAUUCCCGUAACUCUCUGUGGCCUUGCCAAUAAUCCUUAUCGUCCUUGCUGAGAAAGGAGUGCCUUUGCUAACUGAUUACAUCCUCUUUUCCUUACUGUGGUCAGCCGGUUGCUGCAUGCCAGAAGCAGCUGGCAUGAUUGAUAGAUAAGCACAUGUCUCCGUGCAUUUUCCUCUGUCUGCUGUAACCACAUCCAGCUCUGCAGCAGCUCUGGAAAGGAGCGAAACGACACGGAGCGGUUUUGUCACCGAUACUAGUUUUCUAGAAACGCUAACCCAGCAAAUCUCAGCUUCUUUUCAGCCUUCCACGCAGGAUGGUCACAGCCAUCCCUACCACCCGUGACCAGAGCACAGCCCAGCGAGCCCUGCAGACGAGGCAGGACCAAGAGGUGCAGGGCUCAAAGGGACCCCGAGACACCACCUCCCAGCCACUGCCCUGCACUGAGGCCGCGUUGGGUCUAACAGCGCGCUGCAAGACUAGCCAAAGAACCUUCCUAAACCAGAGCCUGUCCAGAACAGGGAUGAGUGCAGCUGUUGUGGAAUUUCAGCCGGUUUGAUCGAAGCUCUGUGCACCCUGCCUGACUUCAGCAUUUUUUGUUAGCUUGGAGGUAUUCUGCGAAUGCAGUGGCACAGUUCAGUGAAGUGAUAAAACGCUUCAGGAUCACCUCUGCUCCACGCACUCUUUUAAGCAGCACAUCAUGACAAGAGGCUUCUCGUGCCAAAUUCCUCUUCGCUUUGAGUCACAGGAGUGACAUCAGAGAAGGAGUUAGCCCGGCUUGCUAAGUGACUAGAAGGGGGCCAGUCGUAUUUAUUUUUUUCUGUACUAGUUCCUGGAAUGUGGUUUGCAGACGCAGCCCUUCCCUUGCUGUAAGCUCACGCAGUGAAGUGGGCAGGGAUGCUCAAACAGCAUCUUCCUUGACCUUUCUGGGGCUGAGAUGACUUGUUGCUUUUUGAAGACUUCUGAGAAGCUUCCCCCAGCCUCUGUCCCUCCAUCCCCUGUGCUGCAUCUGCAGCGUCCAACCACAGUCCCUGCGGAGGGCAGCGUGGCUCGCGCAGUGACGACGCUGUGCUCUUAAUUUGUUCCAGCCUGUUUCACGCUGACAUUUUAGCACUGACGUCAUCAGCUGCUGAAAUUUCAUUGCUGCUGCUAAGAAUAACAGCCCUUCUCGUCCCCCACCUUGCACCAAAUAGUUAUUUAUUAAUACAGUAGGGAUCCAGGCUUAUCUCUUCUGACACAAAUCGGGUUCUGGUGGUUAAAAGAAGGAAGAACAAAACACCGAAGACGCUUGCAUGUUCCGUCAGGCUGGGACAAAAGGGGGAAAAAAAAGCAUGUUUUUAAAAGAACAAAAAAAGGCCACAUCCACUCCACACUCUUUCAUCGCCUUCGGAUGAAGUAGGCCGGUCAGAUUGCUGGUGUGGGUGACUUGUCCUUGAGGGGAGCUCAUGGCGAAAACAGACUUUCAAACACGCAAGAGAGGAGGCCAGGGAGCCCCAGCGGUGAAGGCUGUGGCGCGCCGCACAGGGUUUGUGAAAUCCUGUGUGAAUACGUGGUAUGCAAACACACCCCCCCCCGCACCGAGCUUCUUGCACAAGCCCCGGUUGGCUCACGUACCUGGGCA